rnacentral:tRNA from 1 species
GACCGCGUAGCUCAGUUGGCAGAGCAUUGGGCUAGAAUUCCAAAGGUCGUAGGUUCGAUUCCCACCGUGGUCA